AGAGUUUGAUUAUGGCUCAGGACGAACGCUGGCGGCGUGCUUCAUACAUGCAAGUCGAACGAUAAGGUCUCUUCGGAGAUACAUAAGUGGUGGACGGGUGAGUAAAAUGUAGAGAAUCUGCCCUAGAGAUGGGGACAACAGUUGGAAACGACUGCUAAUACCCAAUAUGAGCGUAGUUGAAAUACUAUUCUUGAAAACUCCGGUGCUCUGGGAUGAGUCUGCAUCUGAUUAGCUAGUUGGAGGUGUAAUGGACCACCAAGGCGACGAUCAGUAGCUGGUUUGAGAGGAUGAUCAGCCACAAUGGGACUGAGACACGGCCCAUACUCCUACGGGAGGCAGCAGUAGGGAAUUUUGCGCAAUGGGGGAAACCCUGACGCCAGCAACGCCGCGUGAAUGAAGAAGCCCUUCGGGGUGUAAAGUUCUGUCAGUAGGGAAGAAUAAAUGACUGUACCUACAGAGGAAGCAUCGGCUAACUCCGUGCCAGCCGCCGC
rnacentral:rRNA from 1 species